AGCAGCCGCGGUAAUUCCAGCUCCAAUAGCGUAUAUUAAAGUUGUUGCAGUUAAAAAGCUCGUAGUUGAAUUUCGGGAUUAGUAAGUUGGUCGUGCCUCUGGUAUGUACUGGCUUUACUGGUUCCUCCUUCUUGAAGAACUGUAAUGUCAUUAAUUUGGUGUUGCAGGGAAACAGGACUGUUACUUUGAAAAAAUUAGAGUGUUUAAAGCAGGCUAACGCUUGAAUACAUUAGCAUGGAAUAAUGAAAUAGGACGUUUGAUCCUAUUUUGUUGGUUUCUAGGAUUGACGUAAUGAUUAAUAGGGAUAGUUGGGGGCAUUAGUAUUCAAUUGUCAGAGGUGAAAUUCUUGGAUUUAUUGAAGACUAACUACUGCGAAAGCAUUUGCCAAGGAUGUUUUCAUUAAUCAAGAACGAAAGUUAGGGGAUCGAAGACGAUCAGAUACCGUCGUAGUCUUAACCAUAAACUAUGCCGACUAGGGAUCGGAUGAUGUUAAUUUUUAAUGACUCAUUCGGCGCCUUAC
rnacentral:rRNA from 1 species